rnacentral:rRNA from 1 species
GAUGAACGCUGGCGGCGUGCUUAACACAUGCAAGUCGAACGAAGCAUUUAAGACAGAUUACUUCGGUUUGAAGUCUUUUAUGACUGAGUGGCGGACGGGUGAGUAACGCGUGGGUAACCUGCCUCAUACAGGGGGAUAGCAGCUGGAAACGGCUGGUAAUACCGCAUAAGCGCACGGUAUCGCAUGAUACAGUGUGAAAAACUCCGGUGGUAUGAGAUGGACCCGCGUCUGAUUAGCUGGUUGGUGAGGUAACGGCCCACCAAGGCGACGAUCAGUAGCCGACCUGAGAGGGUGACCGGCACAUUGGGACUGAGACACGGCCCAGACUCCUACGGGAGGCAGCAGUGGGGAAUAUUGCACAAUGGAGGAAAACUCUGAUGCAGCGACGCCGCGUCGAGCGAAGAAGUAUUUCGGUAUGUAAAGCGUCUGUCAGCAGGGAAGAUAAUGACGGUACCUGACCAAGAAGCCCCGGCUAACUACGUGCCAG